rnacentral:lncRNA from 10 species
GAUUUCUUUAUUACGGCUAGCAGAUAUUUAAGAAUGUUAGCACAGGUCUUUGAAUAAAUUUUGCUUCUAAGAGAAGUUACUAUUUAUUCCUAAUUAGAUGGGGAGGAAAGUCUUUGAAGAGGAACCUCUAGUUUACUGUUUCCAGGACCCACCAGCAGAUUUUGAUUCUUAUUUUCCUUUCCUGGAGAAGCAGCCCUGCCAUCCCUGCCUGAGGAGGGUACUUUUCCCCUUUUGGGGCCUGGAGGACCUGUAAUGGCCUCCCCUGAAUUAGUUGCCUUACAAGGCACUACUGAUCCUUCUCAAGUCCUACCCCCACCACCUCUCUCUAUUUGGAUGUGCUUCUAUGAGCCUAUAUGGAAGAUCAGAAGUGCUCGAAGGACUCAAGAGCAUUGAAAUGGAUGUGAUGCUUGGAGCUGUGGCAGCCAUCUUGUAACCAUGAGAAAAGAAAGCGCCACUCUGAAGUUGAUGGAGAAGAAAGACAGGAAGAGCAUGGGUCCUUCGUGGCAUUGUUGAGCCACUGAACCAACUCUGCAACCUCCCAGCUGCAGUCGUUGUCUUACAUAGGGCAUGGAGCCCUUUGUGCCUCAGCCAGCCAAGCCCAGAUCCAGCCACGUGGACGUGUGCUGACAGCACCGUCGAUGCACAGUCUCCACCAAGCUGGGACAAAGGCAGAGCUAUCAGUAGCCACGUCGGGUAGAACAGAAGGCAUUCUGGGAACGCGGUGCUCUCACAUCCUGCAAAGUACAGGCCUGCAGAGCAGAUGGCAGGGACUUCAAAAGCUAAGUCACCUUGAAAGAUAAUGGCACAAAGGGCGAUUGGGGGUGGGGUGGGUGGGAGGCUUUUGUACCCUUUUGCAACAAGGAAGCAGAAAAGACAAAAGCUAUUUGCCAGCCUGGUGCGGGAAUCAACAGAAUAGAGAGAUGGUUCUGCUGCAAUUUCCAUCAAGGGUGGCCAAGCCUCCAGUCUUCUUGUCCAGAAGUAAGUGGCAUCAACCAACUCUGCCAAACUGCAUUUCCUGCCUCCUGAUCUGGGGUCUUUUCCUUUUCUUUUUUCACACAGGGAGUAUUUCCAUCCUCUCUGUCCAGGCAGCUGAGCCUUGACAACCUCUCCUCCCCUUCACCAUGCCCCGACUGAUCUCCUAAUGGAGCCCCACCCCUCGAGUCCCUGGGCCUGUGGAAGGUAGGGUCUCCCCCUCCUCCUCAUCCUCCCCCACUCCACUCCAGGUGGGGUUGCAAUAGGGCUUAUCUGGUUUCCUCUAAGCAUGAAGCCCUUGACCAGAGGAGGAGCGGGAGUUCACGUCACGCCCCCAUGCUUAGUCCUGGCCUUUUGCAUUUUUUGUGGAUGGGUAAACUGAGGUACAUAGUGGUCAACUCAUGCCCAGGAUCACAGAGGCACUGGCAGGGUGGCAGGAAUGCUGAAUUCACCUGAUGAGAGCCAGGGACAGCAGCGGGUGGGGCGGUGGCUGCUUUUCAACUGAAGUUGUUAAAAGGAAUGCUUAUUCCUGGCCCCACCGGCUUGCCCUCCAAGGCAGAACGUGUUAAUACCGAGCCCCAGCAAAGGUUCAAAUUGACUUCUUGGCUCUGAGCAGGGAGGUAGAAGUUCCUGCCCCCGCCACCCCCGGCUCGAGGCUCCAGGGGCUGCCAGGCUCCUCUCGCCUGGCCUAGAAACAAUCCCCUCCUGCCACCUCCACGCAGGUGCUGUCAGGACAGGCCCUCUGCCCUCAAACAUCUGCUCCUCUCCUCGGGGAGGGGGGCCUCAGCUGCGCGCUGAAGGGGCCAGGCCUCAGAAGCCUGUUCUCCUUUGAAGCUGACAGCUUGAUGCCUGUGGAAAUGCGGUCCUAUUUCAGGAUUUCAUUUUAAAGAGGUUUCAAAGGAGUGGCUGGAAGGCUUGGUGGAAUCGCUUAUUACGGCUCCUCUCCCGGCCCGCAGCUUGGUGGCUGAGCACGUCAUCAUCAUUGGCAGGCAGGUGACUGUUCUAAAUUAGCACCUGGCUCAUUCUGGAGGGCUCUAACUCUUCCUGAGCUUUUUCCAAGAACAACUUUCAUGACUUAUACCUUCUUAUACCUUUCCCACGUUAUCUGUUUGAAAUGAUCCACGGGGCAGGUGAAUUACGUGUCAUCUCCAAGACUCUUGUUUCUGUCGGGCAUGUCUUAAAGACACACACACAUGCAAAGGCUAUGAAAAUGCGACCCCCCAGACCUGGGAAGCUGCAGCCCGUGGAGCCUCAGGGGCAAAGGGAGCAAACUGGCUUGUGAGGGAAGAGCUGCUCUGGUCAGCGGCUGUUGUGGGAUGGGGAGGGAACAGGGUGACCCAAGGGGGCAGGGGCCUGGUGCCAUGUCUGCUCAUGUGCCGCCCUCCUUGUCUCUGGGAUCUGCCCCCAAAAUGCAAGAAACGCGUAAGCCCACUGUAGCAGAUAUGGAGAGACUCCGGGGGAUUUUCCUUUACCUAACUACUCUGCACCUCUGCAAGGGAGAGCAUUAUGGUUUGGAAGAAAUGGAAACGGCAUGGAAGUCCCAUGUGGGCAGAGCCUGCACACCAAACCCUUCUAGACUGCAAAGGGUUUGACUCAGCCCAAAGAGGACUCUGCCAGGAAGCUGUCAGGCACCUGAGGCCACCUGCCUCUCCUCCGCUUCAGGAAUAACCAUCAGUACUGCAUCUUGGCUCUGAGGGGCACUGGGCAUCACGAUGCCCACUCGAAGCAGCUAGGGCACGUUGAUCUCUGCAUCUCCAUACAGAUGUCCGAGGAAAUGAUCCCAUAGCCUCAUCUCUGUUUCAGAGGCAGAGGCAGAGUCCACCAUAAUCUAGCCCAUUGCUCUCAACCAGACAGAGCGCACCUCCUGGCCACUAGGUGAGCAUUUGUC